UACGGCGAGUGAAGCGGCAAAAGCUCAAAUUUGAAAUCUGGUACCUUCGGUGCCCGAGUUGUAAUUUGGAGAGGGCAACUUUGGGGCCGUUCCUUGUCUAUGUUCCUUGGAACAGGACGUCAUAGAGGGUGAGAAUCCCGUGUGGCGAGGAGUGCGGUUCUUUGUAAAGUGCCUUCGAAGAGUCGAGUUGUUUGGGAAUGCAGCUCUAAGUGGGUGGUAAAUUCCAUCUAAAGCUAAAUAUUGGCGAGAGACCGAUAGCGAACAAGUACAGUGAUGGAAAGAUGAAAAGAACUUUGAAAAGAGAGUGAAAAAGUACGUGAAAUUGUUGAAAGGGAAGGGCAUUUGAUCAGACAUGGUGUUUUGUGCCCUCUGCUCCUUGUGGGUAGGGGAAUCUCGCAUUUCACUGGGCCAGCAUCAGUUUUGGUGGCAGGAUAAAUCCAUAGGAAUGUAGCUUGCCUCGGUAAGUAUUAUAGCCUGUGGGAAUACUGCCAGCUGGGACUGAGGACUGCGACGUAAGUCAAGGAUGCUGGCAUAAUGGUUAUAUGCCGC
rnacentral:rRNA from 1 species